rnacentral:lncRNA from 1 species
AGAUGUCUGCUCAGCGGAAGAUCAUUGCCUUCCUCGUGGAGAUCAAAGAGGAGCAGCAGAGGCAGUGGGUGGUUCUGAGAGAUCUUCAGGUCCGACUGCAAGGACAUUCCAGUUACAAGGAAGAGGAUGUGGAGGCUCUGGAUAUGGACCUCCCUUUGAAGAUGCUUGAGCAGCUGGAUGAGUUGGAAAGAUGCCUGGAGGACCCAGGAAUUCAAAAGAGAAUGGUAUCUUACCUUUCACAAAUGGGUGGCGCUACAGUUGGUGAUGCAGUGAGACGUCUUAUGCAAGCUGUGCUUUCAUUUGCCGUUGGUUCAGAGCUAAACUGGGUGGGCCGUGGACAGAAAAGGAGCUUCAGGAACACUCGCCUUCAAGGGAUCCUCUUCUCUGACCAUCUCACAUCAACCAACUUCACGAGACAAUCCUGCAGCGACCAGACAGAAAGCGGGGAAAUGCGACAAACGGACUCCAGACCUGCAGCCCAGGACUUCAGGGAAUGCCUACGUCUCUCCUGGAAACCCGCCAGCAGACUGCAGUCGGACCAGUCCACAGCGGAACGGACCAAGCCUCAGUAAACCCGAGGACAAGCAAGUAACCUGUGGCUGUAUUGGUUGUCUCACACUAAUCGCUUAGUCUCCAUAGUUACUACAGCUUCCUCCUAAACUGUAUUUAAACCUCAGACUCAGCUAGUUUCUUAGAUCAGUUCUCCCUCCAUUUCCCCCUAUGUAAAUAUAUGUAAUAAUAUGUAAAUAGCAUGUAUAUAUUGUAAUUAGCUGAUUAAAUGUUAAAAAGACUGUUAUCAAUGAUGUUAUUUCACACAGUGAAUACGUCACUGAAUCAGGAGAACUCUCCCUCAGAUUGUAGACUGAUAUCUUGUAUUACUCAUUAACUGACUAGUUGAUCUGCUGUUAAAGGAUCUGGUGCCCGAAAUUAUUAUGAUGGUUUAUGAUAUUCAUAAUUCAUAAAACAGACAUAAUAAACCUUCAUGUUCAAUACAUAUAUAUAUUUAAAUUUUCUACGUGAGUACGCCAUCGCUAGUAACUGAAAAGUAGUUUCCUCAAAAUUUCACACAAUGAAUUGUGAAAGUUGUGAGCAGCAAUGGUCAUUAGAUGAGCAGAAUAGACCGGCAUGCAGUGCAUGGAUGACAAAAAUCGCAGUCACCUGAAAGUCACUUUGACAUGACAUAUUAAUUAUUAUUAUUAUUAUGAUGUAAUAAUAUUAAGUUACACCUUUUAAGAAAACAUUCAGGAUGAGAUAAAUUAAUUUUCACCACUAAAUUAAGAUAAAAAUAAUUUGAGUUUGAAACAGGAAGUCCACCAAAUGAUGUCUACAUGCGCUGGAGGUCCAUACUACAUCAUAAUCAGCGACAGAAAAAAAGUAGUUUGUGAAUAAACUCAAUAACUAACUUUUGCGUGCAUAGAAAGUUCAUCAUAAACAUGAACAAAUUGGAAUCCGCUCCUGUACUAUGAUGUGCUCUAAUUGAGGGCGCUAUAUAGUCCACUAUAUAGUGCUGCACUGUACAGUCCACUAUAUAGUGACUGAGGGGUUAGGGACUAGGGUGGACAUUCGGACACAGCCUAUGUCUUCUCCCACAACUGUAAGAAUGAGUAAAUGAUACUAAUUCCUUGUUUGUCAUUGUUUUAAAAAUCAUGUAACAUGAAUUUCUGGAAAGUACAUAACCAGCUGCCAUUCCACAGGUACCAAUUCUAGAAUACUGAAUGAUGGAAAGUAACACUAGACUGUAAACAUGAUAAUCUCCAGCUUCUCUUCUAACUCUUAGGUGCUCUGAAACGAACACCAGUAGGUAAGGGGGCCACACAUCACCAGUAUGCUGACGUGGUGAAGAAGUGGCUGCGGUUCGCCCCAUUCAGGCAGGGAGGGACCGGCCGUCGGUGCUGCAAACCUGUGGAGUUUCCAUAUUCUGAGGAAACUGACACUUUCAACCAAAGUUGCACAAACUGACAUUUUUCUUAAUUAUUAGUUUUUCCACUGUACAUAAAUGUAAGGAUGACAAGAUACCUUCAUUUUUAAAAAUAUACCUACACACAGUACAUUUUUGUUAUAUAUCUUCCUCCAGGAAAGUAGGAAAAGUGAAAGUGUCAACAGUGUGCCUUUUGGACCUUCACUUAAGAAACUGCUACAUUUUAUGAUGUUUCCGUUUAAAUCAGUGCACAUCAGUCACAGUUCAAUGUAUUCAUAUGUGUAUAUUUUUCUGUAUGUGUCACAUCUUUUGCAAUGGGUUUUCCCUAUUUUUGUAUUAGUACAAAUUUGUAACUCUAGUGUCAGCACAGUGGAUGUUCACAGUAGGGGGUGACACAAUCAAAGCUAUUGCCUGAUGGACCUUUGGAUGUUAAAAAUAGAGUAUUUUUUGGUCACCCUUAUCAACACCUGAUCAAUAACAUCAAAAUUUGUGCUACAUACAGUAAUUUCAGAAAGUAUUCUGACAACUUUUGCACACUUUAAGUGUAGCUUCUUUGCCUGAGGAUUUCAUCACUCUUUAAUUGAAUAAUUUGUCUAAAAUUGAUGUUUUUUAUGAGAUCCAGCCCGGUAGCACAUUGACACAUUGACAGUGACAGUACUAACUAUAGUAUUUCAGCAUUUCAGAAUGUUAAUGCAAACUAGUUUCAGAGACUCAAGCUGGACUUUAGUUUUGUAAUGUGUUUUGAACUAUGUAAAAUAUACAGUAGGUCUUUUUGAUGUGCUUCAGUUUGAAGAUUGUUACGCUGUACUCACAAUUCUCAAGCAUACAUGUAGAUAUGUUGGAGCAUCAAGCAUCAAGCUGAGCUAUACUAAUAUGUGUGAGUUCCAUUUUCUGAGAGUAGAAUAUACUGUACAUGUAGCCAACAAGAACAUUAUCAGUUCCUCUGGAUUAUACAAGAAAACAUGAGUUCAGGUAUGAUGACAUACUGAAGCUCUUUCACUAAAGACAUUUUGAUAUGACAAAACUGGACAAGCACAGAUGUGAAUGAAUGAAUUUUGAGUGUUAUUCAGUUUCUCCAUACAGAUCUGAUUUAUAUUAAUAUUUACUCUCACUAUCUCUUAGCAUGCAAUAUAAAAAGCUAAAAUGACAUUUUCCUAGAAACAUGUGGAUGCACUAGUCUCUGAUACCGAACGGUUGAAAGUGGCACAUUUAUGAUAAAUAAUUGCUCCUCCAUAAAUUUGUAUUUUACAUACUACAUAGUAAACUAACUUGCUAUGUCCGU